rnacentral:tRNA from 1 species
CUCUAAGAAGCUUUUAAUGCUCCAGUCUUUUAAGCUGGCGAUGGGCUAACUGGCCCCUCAGAGA